rnacentral:misc_RNA from 1 species
GAAAUGCGAUAAGUAAUGUGAAUUGCAGAAUUCAGUGAAUCAUCGAAUCUUUGAACGCACCUUGCGCUCCUUGGUAUUCCUUGAGCAUGCCUGUUUGAGUAUCAUGAAAUCUUCAAAGUAAAUCUUUUGUUAACUCAAUUGGUUUCUACUUUGGUAUUGGAGGUCUUUGCAGCUUCACACCUGCUCCUCUUUGUUCAUUAGCUGGAUCUCAGUGUUAUGCUUGGUUCCACUCGGCGUGAUAAGUUAUCUAUCGCUGAGGACACUGUAAAAGGUGGCCAAGGUAAAUGCAGAUGAACCGCUUCUAAUAGUCCAUUGACUUGGACAAUACUUUUAUGAUCUGAUCUCAAAUCAGGUAGGACUACCCGCUGAACUUAAGC